UACGAACCGUCCAAACGUUAUUCGGAUUUAUUGGGCUUAAAGGGUAUGUAGGCGGCGCUGUCAGUCGGGUGUGAAAGCCCUCGGCUCAACCGAGGAAUUGCGCCCGAUACUGCAGUGCUUGAGGGAGACAGAGGUAAGCGGAACUGAUGGUGGAGCGGUGAAAUGCGUUGAUAUCAUCAGGAACACCAGUGGCGAAAGCGGCUUACUGGGUCUCUUCUGACGCUGAGAUACGAAAGCUAGGGGAGCGAACGGG
rnacentral:rRNA from 2 species